UGUGGUUUAAUUCGAAGCAACGCGAAGAACCUUACCAGGUCUUGACAUCCUCUGACAAUCCUAGAGAUAGGACGUCCCCUUCGGGGGCAGAGUGACAGGUGGUGCAUGGUUGUCGUCAGCUCGUGUCGUGAGAUGUUGGGUUAAGUCCCGCAACGAGCGCAACCCUUGAUCUUAGUUGCCAGCAUUUAGUUGGGCACUCUAAGGUGACUGCCGGUGACAAACCGGAGGAAGGUGGGGAUGACGUCAAAUCAUCAUGCCCCUUAUGACCUGGGCUACACACGUGCUACAAUGGACAGAACAAAGGGCAGCGAAACCGCGAGGUUAAGCCAAUCCCACAAAUCUGUUCUCAGUUCGGAUCGCAGUCUGCAACUCG
rnacentral:rRNA from 1 species